rnacentral:lncRNA from 1 species
ACCCCAGGAUUCUGACACUAGCCCACCUUGACAUUUGACGUUGGGUACCCACGUGGUAACUAUAUUUUCCAAACCUCAAAUAGGGACACAUGGUCUCACAAGUGUAAAGGCACUUAAGAGGACAGGAGACUAGAAUGUUUUAAAUUGGGACCAUCCCAGCAAAUCCAGGACAUCUGGUCAUCAUAACUAUCUGGGGGCUUCCCACACCCCUGGCACAAGGCAGGCUUUGCCAUUUAAUAGGCCUUCCCAUAUCCUGAAUGCCCAGGGUCUAUUUUUUGGUUGAAGCACAUGCUACAGACAAGUGAGAGACACUUAAAAAGAUCAAGCAGCUGGAGAGAGAUUGCAGUGGGCAUUCUUUUUAGAGAGGCCUUGGCAGGCGAGAAGGCAGGGCAGUGGUGAAAGGUCAGAAGAAUUAUCCAUGAAUUCUGGGGCCCAGGAGGUGUCAGAGCUGUGAGCUAGGGGACUUUCCACCAGCAUCAGGCAUGUAGCUCCCCCCUGGUCCUCUCCCCGCCUCUUCCCCCAGCUCUUCUCUCAUUGGAAGCUCUCCCUCCUGCCUCCACUGGGAGCAGAAGGCUCUGCAGCUGGCUCAUGGCACCUCAUGGAGGGGCAGCUGGCUUCUGGGGAGGGAGACAAUUUGCUGCCUCAUUGUGUGGCUGCAUUGAACCUGCUGGUGUAGAAUGGGCCCAGCGAUCAUAGGUUGUGGUAGAAUUAUGGGAGCCUGGAUAUAAAACUUCCGUACACUGUAAAGAAUUGGACACGUGGGUGCUGAGUUUCGCAUUCAGAGUUAAUUUCACAUUGAAAUUGUUAGAAUAAAAUGCCAGUCUGAGGAGAGGCCUAACAGCAGCAAUUUGAAGUUUAUGUGUUUGUCUCACAAUGGUACAGUUGCCUGCUGAUUCACAAAUAUAGGGAGAAGAAAGGAGAAGUAAGGUGUAAGGUAGUGUGAGUAUGUGUGCAUGUGCGUGUGUGUGUGUG